UCUAUGCCCGAAUGUACAUUCUGAAGGAGGUACUCGCGACGCAGAAAAUCAUACGAAUGGCGGGCCUUAUGGUUCGGAAACAUCUUUAUUGUCAGUUCAGCUCCUACAAAGGUUUAUCUACGUAGCAGCGAAAGUAAACGCUGUUUGGUUUAUUCGACUUAUCUUUGAGCUGCCCGCCGGAAGAAUAGUAUUUGAUUCGUACAAAGGAAGACCGCUUUUACCAGAAUAUGUGGCGAGAGCACGUGGCCACAAUGAAAUCGCCGAAUACUUGGAGGAUGUGACCAAAAGAUAUUCUGAAAGUGAGAGAACAGACAAGGAGAAGCUCAACGCCAUCAAUUGGCAGGAAAUCGCUACAGCCAUUGAGGCAACACAAGAAAGUCCGAACUCAUCAACAGAAGGUGUUUUUAAAGUAGCAGUCUCCUCGAAUAAUCGAGAAAAGUGUUUGGAGGAAACAAAAGUUGCGGACAUAGAGUUGA